UACGUAGGGCGCAAGCGUUGUCCGGAAUUAUUGGGCGUAAAGAGCUUGUAGGCGGUUUGUCGCGUCUGCUGUGAAAAUCCGGGGCUCAACCCCGGACUUGCAGUGGGUACGGGCAGACUAGAGUGUGGUAGGGGAGACUGGAAUUCCUGGUGUAGCGGUGAAAUGCGCAGAUAUCAGGAGGAACACCAAUGGCGAAGGCAGGUCUCUGGGCAGUUACUGACGCUGAGGAGCGAAAGCAUGGGUAGCGAACAGGAUUAGAUA
rnacentral:rRNA from 1 species